rnacentral:misc_RNA from 1 species
GAUGAAGAACGCAGCGAAAUGCGAUAAGUAAUGUGAAUUGCAGAAUUCAGUGAAUCAUCGAAUCUUUGAACGCAUCUUGCGCUCCUUGGUAUUCUGAGGAGCAUGCCUGUUUGAGUGUCAUUAAAUUCUCAACUACACUGACUUUGAAUUGGUGUGGCUUGGAUUUGGGGGGAAAAUUGUUGUGGGCUUUUUGUAUAGUCUGCUCCCCUGAAAUUGAUUAGCGGUACCUUUGUGGAACUGUCUACAGGUGUGAUAAUUAUCUACAUCUUAGACAUCUGCUGGAAUGCUGCUUUCUAAACCUUACUUGCAUUGACAAUCUUGACCUCAAAUCAGGUAGGACUACCCGCUGAACUUAAGCAUAUCAAUAAGCGGAGGA